GAACACAAAAUGGCGACACGUGGUUAGCAUUCGUCGCCAACGAGAAAUUGGGGUCGGCCCGAAAGCUCUAGAAUGCACCCCUCUUCCUCCCCGGGGCCUUCCACCUCCGCGAGUUUUAUGACUUAAAAAAGCCCACAGGCUGGUCUGAAGGUCGGAGGCCUAAUUUUAACGCGUUUUCCUCCCUUUAAUUUGAAACGGGAACGCGAAUGACUGUAAAAUACUUCCUAGCAUGGGCUGUUGUGCUGGAGAGAACGAGAGCUACGAAGAGACUACAGUGCCUCUGACUUUUUCAUAGGACAGUUGGCCGAGGAAGACAAACAUAAAGAUGAAGUGCUUAAUUCAAGGUCACACAAUGUCGGGGAUGG
rnacentral:lncRNA from 10 species